UGCAAGGUGCAAGUACGGUAUCAUUAAGACGGUAGAUGGCAUUACUAAGACUGCAGUUGGCUUUCGUAAUGGCCUAAUGCAGGCUUAAUGGUUGUAAACUCAGCCUAUUGUACGUUCCUUGCUUCUCGAAUUUUCUCCUUUCUUGUUUGGUAGGCUUCGAGGAUUUUCUUAAGGUCUUCAGGCUAUUUUCUUGAUUUUGCUUUCAGCUGCUGCUGAGAUUUGAAAUUUGCAUAAGGUACAUAGAGAAUCAAAGCACAAGAAAAUAUUAGUACCAGAGGUAGCUAGUCUCGAGUGUGAGAACAUAAUUGCGAAGUUACACUCUACUGGUAUUCAACGAAGCCAUGACAACAGAGCCAGCUGUAGGUUCAGAGCUUUCUCAAUUAUAAGGUGUAUUUUUCUCAGGACUGUACCUUACAUGACACGGGUAUAAUUGCUCCUGAAACUAUUUUUCUCAGGACUGUACCUUGAAGAAAUUGUCGAUUUGCAAAGUAGUGGCAGUGGGCACACUGGCAGAGUAGCUACCUAGAUCCAUCUAAGAAGAGCCAAGGAGCAUUGAUUAGGUCUCCGCAAGAGCAUAAGCUAGAUAGCAUCUAGGCUUACCCACAACUUCAACAGAAAGGAAAUAGAUUGGAUGGUUUCUCUAGACAUUGAUGAUGAUUAUGAGAAAUUGAUCAUCCGAAUGAAUCCUCCAAGGUUUCCAAAUGUACAAGAUCAAAACAGUCAAAACUUCCAUGCUGCAACUACUCAACAGUUUGCCUUUUACUAAAAACAUUCGAUACCAUACUUAGUUUUUGUAAACAUAAAUCUUCUCCAGUUUUGAGUUGCAUAUAAAACACACAUAGUAUUAGAUACCAUACUAGUCAAACUGCCAUUUUAUAGUAAUUUUGAAUACUGGUUCUUGGCAAGCUACAACUGGUUAUCAUUUUUGUGGCAAAUAUAAGUUGUCAAUUGUUUCUAAAAUUAUAUUAUAUAAAUAGAAAGAGCUUUACUACAUCAAAUUGACUUUUAUAGUGAUUGUGUUAUAUUUUUGUUUCUUAUACUCAUUUUCAACUCAAAGUAUACUAGUAAUUUGUUAAUAGUAUUUAAUUUGUUAAUUAGACUUUUGUGAGUAUAAUUUUGUAAAAUAACAAUAUUCACUGUGUAGAAUUUCUUUGGUAGUAGGCCGGCAAACAUAAUGCAAGAGGUCUUGAGAGAAUCCAAUAUAUUUCAUUUAUUUUGUACCAUAAUAGGCACUCUUGGUCAAUUAGCAUUUGAUUCCUGAAGUACAGAACUCUAACCAAUAAAAUGUGAUAGUUGAUUUCAUUUAGUGGUUCACUGCAGCUCAAGGUAUAUAUUGUAACAGUUGAGUUCCAUUAAAGGUGAACAUCUUUUAAGAAGAAAGAAUGAAAAGACUCUGGAAAUGCUUAUUUAACUGGCAAAGGAAGUUAUUACUCUGUUUGAAGAAAAUAACAUUUUUCCAAACAACAUACAUAAUUCUAGAGUAAAGGCAAAAAAAUGAAGAUCAUUUAGCUCCUCUUGUGUAGCUAGUAUCCAACUCUAAGGAUCAUGGCUACGAGGUUCAACCUAUUUCUUGCAGUACUGUGACAACAUUAGGCUUGGUUUUUUUGCUAAGGGGAAUGCUAAGUUGGCGUCUGGAUGGGAUCUUGAAUACUUUAAUGCCCUCACAGGCAAAUCACUUCAUCAGCUCUGGAACGACUACAAGGCUGAGUAUUCAUUUGGCACUUAACUGGUGCUUUUCUUACAGAUCUCACUUAGAAACAGUAAAUAAAAACACUCGUACCUUGUAUGGCCGAUUAUCAAUACAAGAUCCAUUAGUUUAACACUACUCCUAUUACUAGUGCAAUAUGUUAAGACUUAGCUGCAUUAAAAUAGUGAUUAUAGCCCUGUUUGGGUAAUUUUUAUGUUCAA